GCGCAGCAGGCGAGAAAACUUUACAAUGUGCGAAAGCACGAUAAGGGAACUCUGAGUGCCUCCUAAGGAGGCUGUUCUGAUGUCUAAAAAGCAACAGAAGUAAGGGCUGGGUAAGACCGGUGCCAGCCGCCGCGGUAACACCGGCAGCCCAAGUGGUAGCCACGUUUAUUGGGUCUAAAGCGUUCGUAGCCGGCCAGGUAAGUUCCUUGGUAAAUUUAGCCGCUUAACGGUUAAGCUUUCGGGGAAUACUGCUUGGCUUGGGACUGGGAGAGGUCAGAGGUACUCCGGGGGUAGGGGUGAAAUCUAUUAAUCCCUGGGGGACCACCGGUAGCGAAGGCGUCUGACCAGACCAGGUCCGACGGUGAGGGACGAAGGCUAGGGGCGCGAACCGGAUUAGAUACCCCUGUAGU
rnacentral:rRNA from 1 species